UUCAAAUGAUGUAUUAAAUAUUUGCUACUUCAGACGGUCGCCUAUCUGCUUCCGAAUGAGACAUAACAAUUUAUCACCAAGAUCUCUGAUGAU
rnacentral:snoRNA from 1 species